ACAAAAAUGGCAGAUAAGUGCAUUAGAUUUAGGCUCUAGAUAUAAAGAUUAUAUUCUUUUUUUUGU
rnacentral:tRNA from 1 species